GAGAGGGGACCCGGGCGGUCGUGUGCGCCCUCCGUUGGAUUCUGGGCCCGGGUUGCUUUGAGGGCAUGCCCCACCUGCAGCUCGCAUGCUCUGAGGGCCCCUAGGUCCCCGGGAUGCGCCCGUUAAGCCGAGACGUCCGUCCCCUUACUCGGGGUGCACAGAUGACGCGCUGUGUAUCUCAUGCGUUGCAGACUCUGCGGUCUCCAGUCAAGAGGACUCAUGCCUUCAGCAAAUAUUUGUCAAGCUUGGUUUGGGAAGGCCAGAAAGACGGAACUGGAGCGGUUAGCGCCAUCAAAGCUCCGCCCCGGGUUAUCUGUCCUCGGCUAGGCUUAGCGAGAUGGCUUCAGUCUCAGGGCGGCUCCCACACCCUCCGCCUUCUCUGCUGCUUCCCCUUCUCUCCAGCAAGUGCACAGGACUCCCUUCCUUCCGCUGGGGUGGUGGGGAGUCAGGCCUCCUCCUUCCAUCACAAUAAUGAUGAUAAUUACACGUUAACUCACCGCUGGCCGGCCUCUUCGGGAGGUUCUUACCACACUUGGAUCAGACCUUUCCAAUUCACGCUUGCUUCACCACCCCCCCCCCCCCCAGGGCCAGGAUGAAAUCUGGAAAUCUCUUUUGCCGCUGUCCCAAGUCCUGACUUCUCACCUAGAAGUUAGAGCUAUAAAAACUUUCUAGUUGUUUACCUCUGCCUCUUAGUGGAUGUUUGUCCGUCCAUGGCCCUGUUCCCCUCUUCACAUGAAGAUUUUUGAGCAGAUCCAAUCCCCAACGAAGGUGCCAUUUGGGGGGAAGUUGACCCCACCUGUGCUCUGGGGAUGGGCCAAAAUUAGCAGGUGUCAGGAAGUGGUGUCUGAAGCGUGGACCUUGAACCCCUGAAGCUCCCCCAGGACACAUCCAGGGGAAAUGUUUCAUGAUGGUACUGUAUCCUGAUUUGCCUUUCUCACUGUGUUGACUUUUCAGGGACGACUUCAGGUGAACCUGGUAGCACCUUAGCACGCAUCCAAGCCAAGGUACCAAAGCACGCGAGUGCCCAGGUGCCCAUCACCACGGACUCGCAGCAGAAACACACUCAUUUCACUUAAUGUCCUUGAUGAAGCAAAAAAAAAAA